rnacentral:rRNA from 1 species
UGAGGAACAUGACCUUCGGCGGGGGAUAGCCGGCCCAACGGCCGGGUAAUACCGCGUACGACCACAUGGGGACAUCCCUGAGUGGUGAAAGCAGCAAUGCGCCGAUGGAGUGCCUCGCGGCCUAUCAGCUAGUUGGUGAGGUAACGGCUCACCAAGGCGACGACGGGUAGCUGGUCUGAGAGGAUGGCCAGCCACAUUGGACUGAGACNCGGCCCAGACUNUACGGGAG